rnacentral:rRNA from 1 species
UGGGGAAUCUUGCGCAAUGGGCGAAAGCCUGACGCAGCGACGCCGCGUGCGGGAUGACGGCCUUCGGGUUGUAAACCGCUUUCAGCAGGGACGAGGCCGCAAGGUGACGGUACCUGCAGAAGAUGCCCCGGCUAACUACGUGCC